rnacentral:tRNA from 1 species
GGGCGCUUAGCUUAGUGGUAGAGCGCUGCCUUCACACGGCAGAGGUCACUGGUUCGAGUCCAGUAGUGCCCA